CCUACGGGAGGCAGCAGUGAGGAAUAUUGGACAAUGGAGGCAACUCUGAUCCAGCCAUGCCGCGUGCAGGAAGACUGCCCUAUGGGUUGUAAACUGCUUUUAUACAGGAAGAAUUGCAUCUACGUGUAGUUGCUUGACGGUACUGUACGAAUAAGGAUCGGCUAACUCCGUGCCAGCAGCCGCGGUAAUACGGAGGAUCCAAGCGUUAUCCGGAAUUAUUGGGUUUAAAGGGUCCGUAGGCGGUUUUUUAAGUCAGAGGUGAAAUCCUGCAGCUCAACUGUAGCAUUGCCUUUGAUACUGAAAGACUUGAGUUAUUGUGAAGUAGUUAGAAUGUGUAGUGUAGCGGUGAAAUGCAUAGAUAUUACACAGAAUACCGAUUGCGAAAGCAGAUUACUAACAAUAUACUGACGCUCAUGGACGAAAGCGUGGGUAGCGAACAG
rnacentral:rRNA from 1 species